CAGGAGUCCAGGCAUGGCUUAGCUGGGUCCUUUGCUCAGGAUUUCCCAAGGCUGCAUCAAGGUGUCACCUCAUUUGGGUUCUCAUCAGAGGUUCAACUGGGGAAGGAUCUGCUUCUAAGUUCAUUCAGCUCCCUCAGUGACCAAAAUGGACUUUUCUGCAGAAUGUGGAGACUCAAGGCUUGCCCAGUGCUGGAGCAGAGGAGAGGCUUCCCUGGAUACCUCUGCAGGUGUCAUGAGGGCUGCUGUCCUGUCCUCACAGCCGAGAUGAAAGACCUCCAGUGAUGCCAGCACACGCCCAGGGGAUUGAGGAGGUGACAUGGGUGAAGAACACUCAUUGGGGUAAAAGAGAAAAACAUGUACAAAUUGCCCUUAAUGGAAGCCAAACGCUCACUUGGUGCUUGGAACCACAUGUAAAAGUGACCCAUCAAAAUUCAGGUGUCGAGGAGGUGGCUGCAGAGAUGCAGGCUGGUGUUUUUCCUGCAGGGAUGGCCACGAUUUGGAUAUUUCAAAGAAAAGAGAGGGGGAGUCCAUUGAGCCCAGAGCCCUCUCUGCUGUCACUGAAGCUGUCAUCUCCUGGUCCCCAGGCUGGCGGCUGCCCUAUUUCUUUCCCCCGCCACCAGUGUGACUAAGCAUGUUCAAGCUGAACUCCUCCCUAGACAGCGGCAUGUGUGGCCAUCUCAACGUCUCAAUUGCCUGUAAAGAGAGAUGUGUCUCUCCCGCUUCAAACCACAGUGGCGUCUUUGGGGUGUGAAUGAUGGAUCAAAGUCGCCUUUCUUCUGCACCCCUCUCCCUUUCAACGGAGGCAGCGUGCUUACAUGGCGAGCGUUGUUUUUUAGCCCCUCAGGUGUGCUUGGAGGAGGCACUGGCUGGGCUUCCCUGCAGGAACAUCAAGUCUUUUGGUGACUCACCUGAGCUUGACAAAUAGCCCUGUCUGCCCCGAUGACAGGGGCCCGGGUGCUGGGGAAAGAGCAGCAGGAGUGACUGACAACAGAUAGGUUUUCCUUUUCUGAGUCAGAGUCUGCUUGUGGGGAGUGGAUGCCAGAGAACAUGGAAGCCAAUUAAAGGCCAUUGAAAAAUUGGGUUGCAAGAAAGCCCCCUAAAGACAGGACCUGUUACAGCUGGCAGGUAUUCUGGGAUGUGGGGAUGGAAAGAACACUUUUCUGCAGUAGCCCAUGUUGGGGCUGUGUGGCCGUGGCCAUGGAGGGCAGACGCAGCCUCUCCACGAGGCCACCCACACUCCAGUGACGGUCACACCAGAAGGUGGGCUCAGCUGGAAGGGACUGGGGAGAAUGUGUUGGGCAGUUUAUUCCUCACUUUUUGGAAAAGGAACUAGGGAUGUCACGGUUGCUCUGGGUGUCCAGGAUGGGGUGCAUGGAGUGGGAGCCGGGCGGGAGCAGUGGCUUCUUUUGAGCGUUACGGUGUCACCAGCCCUGCCCUCUCCCUUCCCAUAGGACCCCUGUCUCGGCUCCCUCUCCUCUGACAGGUUCCUAGCUCGGCCCUCCAAGACCAUCCUAGGUGACCAGAGAUGGCUUCUUGUUCCUGUAGACCUUCAAAACCAGCCCUGGCGGGCAGGGCAAAGGGCAGGGUACAGUCACAGCCUGGGUGGAGUUCAAGUAGAGAGUUUUCCUGGAACCAGAGAGACUCCUGGGGGAGACUCCCAGCAGAGCUGGUGGCCACUGCCAGGCUAUGCUCUCGGACAUGGCCCCUGGCCACCUGUGGCAAUGUAAAUUUA
rnacentral:lncRNA from 1 species